GUGCUAAUACCGCAUAUGGUCUUCGGAUUAAAGGAUUUUAUCCGCUUUGGGAGUGGCCCGCGUACGAUUAGAUUGUUGGUGAGGUAACGGCUCACCAAGUCGACGAUCGUUAACUGGUCUGAGAGGAUGAUCAGUCAGACUGGAACUGAGACACGGUCCAGACUCCUACGGGAGGCAGCAGUAAGGAAUCUUCCACAAUGGGCGAAAGCCUGAUGGAGCAACGCCGCGUGCAGGAUGAAGGCCCUCGGGUCGUAAACUGCUUUUAUGAGUGAAGAAUAUGACGGUAACUCAUGAAUAAGCACCGGCUAACUACGUG
rnacentral:rRNA from 1 species